rnacentral:rRNA from 1 species
GCGGCCACUGCUAUCAAGUUCCGACUAAGCCAUGCGAGUCAAGGUAUCGUAAGAUGCCGGCAAACUGCUCAGUAACACGUGGAUAAUCUAACCUUGAGUAAGGGAUAACUUCGGGAAACUGAAGGUAAUACCUUAUAGUUGUCAUGUGCUGGAAUGCUUUGACGAUGAAAGAAUUUCGCCUGAGGAUGAGUCUGCGGCCUAUCAGGUAGUAUGUGGUGUAAAGGACCACAUAGCCUAAGACGGGUACGGGCCUUGAAAGAGGGAGCCCGGAGAUGGACUCUGAGACACUAGUCCAGGCCCUACGGGGCGCAGCAGGCGCGAAAACUGUGCAAUGCGCGCAAGCGCGACACGGGAAGCCUGAGUGCCUUAACUAUGUUAAGGCUUUUCUUGAUCCUAAAAAGCUCAAGGAAUAAGAGCUGGGUAAGACGGGUGCCAGCCGCCGCGGUAACACCCGCGGCUCGAGUGGUAGUCACUUUUAUUGAGCCUAAAGCGUUUGUAGCCGGAUUUGUAAAUCUCUAGGAAAAUACUUCUGCUUAACUGAAGAAAUUUUGGAGAGACUGCAAAUCUAGGGACCGGGUGAGGUUGAAUGUACUUCUGGGGUAGGGGUAAAAUCCUGUAAUCCUGGAAGGACGACCGGUGGCGAAGGCGUUCAACUAGAACGGAUCCGACGGUGAGGAACGAAGGCUAGGGGAGCAAACCGGAUUAGAUACCCGGGUAGUCCUAGCUGUAAACAUUGCCCAUUUGAUGUUGCUUUUCCGUUGAGGGAAGGCAGUGUCGGAGCGAAGGUGUUAAAUGGGCCGCUUGGGAAGUAUGGUCGCAAGACUGAAACUUAA